rnacentral:tRNA from 1 species
GCCUCUAUAGCUCAACGGAUAGAGCACUGGUCUUCGGAACCAGGGAUGGGGGUUCGAUUCCCUCUGGGGGCACCA